AUUGAACGCUGGCGGCAGGCCUAACACAUGCAAGUCGAACGAGUGGCGGACGGGUGAGUAAUUUCUGGGAAACUGCCCGAUGGAGGGGGAUAACUACUGGAAACGGUAGCUAAUACCGCAUACCAUCGGAUGUGCCCAGAUGGGAUUAGCUAGUAGGUGGGGUAACGGCGCACCUAGGCGACGUUCUCUAGCUGGUCUGAGAGGAUGACCGACCACACCGGAACUGAGACACGGUCCAGAGUCCUACGGGAGGCAGCAGUGGGGAAUAUUGCAGAAUGGGAGCAAGCCUGAUGCAGCCAUGCCGAGUGUAGGAAGAAGGCUUUAGGGUUGUAAAGUACUUUCAGCGAGGAGGCGUUACUCGCAGAAGAAGCACCGGCAAACUCCGUGCCAGCCGCCGCGGUAAUAC
rnacentral:rRNA from 1 species